GGAGACCCUUAUUCCCCUCACAGAGCUACAAUUCUCAGAGUAGUUUAACAAUCAAUCCCUCUUCCUAGAGAGCUCUGAGAAUUGUAGGUCUGUGAGGGGAAUAAGGGUCUC